UACAGAGGUCCCAAGCGUUGUUCGGAUUCACUGGGCGUAAAGGGUGCGUAGGCGGUCGGGUAAGUCUGAUGUGAAAUCUCACAGCUUAACUGUGAAACUGCAUUGGAUACUAUUCGGCUAGAGAGUUGGAGGGGGGACUGGAAUUCUUGGUGUAGCAGUGAAAUGCGUAGAUAUCAAGUGGAACACCAGUGGCGAAGGCGAGUCUCUGGACAUUUCCUGACGCCGAGGCACGAAAGCCAGGGGAGCAAACGGG
rnacentral:rRNA from 1 species